CUCUUGAGUUUAAACAGAGACCAACAAAGUGACGUGACUGACACUCCCUUUGCCGCACGUCCCUUGCCUUCAGCCUUUAACCGUCUGCUUCAAAAUCCCUCCAUCCAUCCAUUUUCUACAGUAUCUCGCUUAUUCUCAUCAGGUUCAGGAGUUCAACUGGAGACAAUCCCAGCUGACUAUCAGCCAGUGGCGUCGCUAGGUGUUUUUUUUGGGGCGGGGCUGGAGCCCCCAUAAAAUGUUGUUAACCCCCCCCAAAAAAAUUGCUUGUAUGUGAUCAGUUAAGUGUGUUAACCCCUCCAAAACCAACCUGAAGCCCUCCUAAACAAUUUUGUAGUAUUUCUCUUUAAUGUCAACGUAAUGGGUUGUUUUUUACUGACGUCACAUUUUUUGCUGAAUUACUCAUACACCACUGCAUGCCGCCAUUUAAUCGCCCUACCUAACGCGUACCAGUGUUGUAGACUCUGGAAUGCUCUCCGUUACUGUUACGGGACUCAAGUACACAAGAAAGGAGUUGUUAAACAACAGAGAGCCUUCUUGUGACUUUUUUUCGACAAAUCUCGUCAAUUCGCUGAAGCUUUUUCCAGACUUGCUAGUCGGCGCGUUCUUCAAGGCCUCGCGGCGAAGAGGCUCGUGACCCGAGAUACAACUCCGGCUGCGAACGUGAGGAUAUUGUCUAACGCUUCCGACGAAAGACUAAGGACAUUCUGCGGCUCUUUGCUUCACGGAGACUUGGCUUUGUGGACGAGUGCCCGACGCUGCUAUCACGCUGCCCGGCUCACCGAGCACAAGCCUUUUGCACAUAAAGCCGCCUGUGUGAGAUUGCUGUCGUCUAUAAUUGGAGAUCAUUGAGACAGAGCGGUGCCAUUAAACCUCGAGGAGACGUAGAGGACUCUGCAAGUUAGUCCAGCUAAUUGACAUUCUGCACUUGAUGGCGGGGAACGUGCACAAGAACGACGCGGGCCUUAUUCGACUCACGUGCUGCUGUGCAUCUGUGUGUGGUGUCGCAGGGAGUGCUGGAGCCUAUCCCAGCUGUCAACAGGCAGGAGGCAGUGCACACCCUGAACUGGUUGCCAGCCAAUUUCAGGGUACAUCGAGACAAACUGACACACUCACAAUUACACCUUGGGGCAAUUUAGGGUGUCCAAUUAAUGUUGCGUGUUUUUGGGAUGUGGGAGGAAACCAGAGUGCCCGGAGAAAACCCGCGCAGGCACGGGGAGAACAUGCAAACUCCACUCAGGCAAGGCCGGGAUCGAACACGGGACCUCAGAAUUGUGAGGACAACGCUUUCUAGCUGAUGUACCGCGCCGCCAAAUCAAGUAUAUAUAUGGGGAAAAAAAAGUUCAGCUUCUGCGUGUUGCCGUGUGAAUGUCAUCUGCUCAAGGCCUUCAGUACCCCAAGUGCUGGCGUCAACCAAGUCCAACACCCAGACAACCGUUGAAAUGGUCUCACCAGUCAGAUUUUGGGCAUGAUUAAAAAUUCACUUUCAAGGCUACUUUUUUUUUUUUUCAACCUGACUUUUAGGGGCUGGGUCAACCAGCAUUUUUUUUCAUCCUUUUGCAGUUGCAAAUCAACAUAUAGGAGUUAUCAAACAAACUAAUAGAAGAAAAAGAAUUUCUGCACCAUCCCCGCCAACAUUUCCAGUCAGUAUGAUGUAUUUUGUUUGUAAUUUUAUUAUUUUUGUCAUUGUAUGACUAAUCUUGAUUGUGAAGUGUUAUAGUAUAGUAUGUACACUACAGGAGGAUAUGGAAGAUAAAUAUAACGGUUUCUUGCUUUAGUAACAAUGGCAUUGAAUCUGAAAUAGGGACAACACCACACAUAGUUAUCCAUGCGUGGCGUUUAAGGUGAUUAUUUUUGCGCUGUGAUGAUGUUAUUAAAAGGAUUAGGUCACUGAAGAUCUGGAGUCCCAAACUCACCACCCAUCUCUGGAAAUGAAUCAGAUUAUUCGGUACGCUACAAAAAUGCAGUUUUUGAUGACAAAUGCAACGCAGUGUUCAUUUUGGCAACGGUAAAAAAGCCUUUCUCAUUUUGCUCAAAACAGGUACGAAUCCAUGGCCCAAAAACAAUUUACCGACUGGACUGUGGGGCAACGGAUACUAUUCCACCCCCAUUAUGCAUAUACAGUAUCCAGUGUAUAUAUUUAAUCAUGAUUUCAAGCAUUCUAAGGUGUUCAGAAUACUAACAUGAUGAAGAAAAGCC